rnacentral:rRNA from 1 species
UACAGAGGUGGCAAGCGUUGUUCGGAAUUACUGGGCGUAAAGGGCGCGUAGGCGGUCUUGUAAGUCUCGUGUGAAAUCCCUCGGCUUAACUGAGGAACUGCACGGGAUACUGCAUGACUUGAGAUCGGGAGAGGGAAGCGGAAUUCCGGGUGUAGCGGUGAAAUGCGUAGAUAUCCGGAGGAACACCGGUGGCGAAGGCGAAUCCCUGGAAAAUACCUGACACUGAGGCACGAAAGCUAGGGGAGCAAACAGG